rnacentral:tRNA from 1 species
CGGAGCGUGGCGCAGCUUGGUAGCGCGCUUGGUUCGGGACCAAGAGGCCGCUGGUUCAAAUCCAGUCGCUCCGACCA